GAUGAACGCUGGCGGCGUGCCUAAUACAUGCAAGUCGAGCGAACGGACGAGAAGCUUGCUUCUCUGAUGUUAGCGGCGGACGGGUGAGUAACACGUGGAUAACCUACCUAUAAGACUGGGAUAACUUCGGGAAACCGUAGCUAAUACCGGAUAAUAUUUUGAACCGCAUGGUUCAAAAGUGAAAGACGGUCUUGCUGUCACUUAUAGAUGGAUACGCGCUGCAUUAGCUAGUUGGUAAGGUAACGGCUUACCAAGGCAACGAUGCAUAGCCGACCUGAGAGGGUGAGCGGCCACACUGGAACUGAGACACGGUCCAGACUCCUACGGGAGGCAGCAGUAGGGAAUCUUCCGCAAGGGGCGAAAGCCUGACGGAGCAACGCCGCGUGAGUGAUGAAGGUCUUCGGAUCGUAAAACUCUGUUACUAGGGAAGAACAUAUGUGUAAGUAACUGUGCACAUCUGGACGUUACUUAAUCAGAAAGCCACGGCUAACUACGUG
rnacentral:rRNA from 1 species